GAUGGACGCUGGCGGCGUGCCUAAUACAUGCAAGUCGAGCGAACAGACGAGGAGCUUGCUCCUCUGACGUUAGCGGCGGACGGGUGAGUAACACGUGGAUAACCUACCUAUAAGACUGGGAUAACUUCGGGAAACCGGAGCUAAUACCGGAUAAUAUAUUGAACCGCAUGGUUCAAUAGUGAAAGACGGUUUUGCUGUCACUUAUAGAUGGAUCCGCGCCGCAUUAGCUAGUUGGUAAGGUAACGGCUUACCAAGGCAACGAUGCGUAGCCGACCUGAGAGGGUGAUCGGCCACACUGGAACUGAGACACGGUCCAGACUCCUACGGGAGGCAGCAGUAGGGAAUCUUCCGCAAUGGGCGAAAGCCUGACGGAGCAACGCCGCGUGAGUGAUGAAGGUCUUCGGAUCGUAAACCUCUGUUAUUAGGGAAGAACAAAUGUGUAAGUAACUAUGCACGUCUUGACGGUACCUAAUCAGAAAGCAACGGCUAACUACGUG
rnacentral:rRNA from 1 species